ensembl:lncRNA
CACUUUGUUACCUUAUCACACCAUAUAAUGUUCAGACAGAUGAGAAUCUGGGCUUUCACUCACACAAACACUUGGACAUGAAAACCUUGCUAUUGCCAACUUGUUCAGUCGUAUCCUCGUAUUUGAUGGCUUUUGUAAAGCCUCUGUCCUGGGAGACCUGUGAAUAUACCAGAGUCUCAACUUUCAGUUUUUUUCAGAAGACAUUUUGUAGCCCUCACGGUUACAGGGAACAGCUGAAAACCCAGAAACGCCAAUAGCACAAAGAGGAGGAGGCAGAGAAUAAGAACUGCUUUGUUAUGAUGCAAAGAAACACACAUUUGUUGGGUUUUAAGGCAGACUUGGGGCAUGGAGUUGGCAGAGGAGAGGGAACACAGCCUGGGACCCACUGCAGCACCUCCCUGAGGCUCCUCUGGACAGCUUUAGAGCUCCUUUGGGCUCCUUUAGAGCUUCUCUGGAGUCCUUUGGGCUCCUUGCAGCUUCUUUGGGCUCCUUUGGAUACCUUUGGAGCUCCUUGGAGAUCCUUUGGUCUUUUUUGGAUUCCUUUGGAGCUCCCUUAGGCUCCUCUGCAGCUCCCAGUGCGGGCUCUUGCCCAGACACCCUUCACCGUGCUCUCCAGACAUCCCCAUUUCCACCCUGUUUUUCAACUUGUUACAAAAACUAAAGAUGCAUUGUAUGUACUGGACUGCCUUCGCCAAGAUAAAUAAACCCAUAGAUGCUUUUUUUUUCCAGGCAUUCACAGUCAAAUGAACGUGAAUAUUAACAGCCACUCCAUUAGACCCAAACUUUGGUGAGAUAAUAAGAGAGAACGACUCCGUAACCCCGCGCCUUCAAUCACGCGCGUAAUGCGCUCCUGUCUGUCUGCUGCUUUUCAUCCAAAAGCACGGGAAUCUGUGUGAAGUAAUAAUAUCUGAAGUGUUUCUUAAGAAGCAGAACCUGUCCCUAGGAAAACAUUCUCCUGACAAAGAAAUCUCUGCGUUGCAGAGCCUCCGUGAGUUACAGCUCUUUUCUCCCAUCGCUGGGCCUGUGGCCACUCCUGUAGGACCGCUUUGCUCAGAGGCCGUUGUGGUGGGCUGUUGUUCCCACGUCUCUGAAGUCCUCGUGCCCACCUCCUCCAUCCUUCCCAGUGGGGAAGCGCUGCUGGUCCUGCUUGCACAAUGCAGAACUGAUUGACUUGUCCAGGAAGGAAAUACUUGAGGGAAAUGGGGGCAAGAUGUGGGGAGCAGUGUGGCAAGAGCAAGGCUGUGCUAGGAGUGGGUUUGUCCUAUAGGUCAAUCCAGAAGAGCUUGGGUUAUAGAGUGCUGAGACACUCUUCCCACAGUGGAGCUUGAAUUCUCUGCAAGCACGCCAUUAAAAUUCUCACAUUGCACUGAAAACUGCUACAGCUUAAAGCUUAACCUUCUGCAGCAAUUGUUAAUGGUCACAUUUUUCUCUUUGUUAGAAAAAAAAUAAAUAAAUGUACAAACUGCACAGCCUGUGUCAAUCCUCAAACAUGCCAGCUCAGGGCUGAGAACGAGAUAGGCAGAAGAAUGCUGCUCAGAGAAGGGUCUGGCCCUUCUGCUGCACAACUUUCCCAUGCAGAGAAAUGAAAUGUGGACCCCGGCACCUCGGUGUCUGGCUCCGGCUCUAAAGUGGUUUCCACUGGUUAUAGAACAUGCUGACAGGCUCUUCAGAUAAGUAGGGCAAGGCAAGGGCACUCAGACUCUUGGCAGCAGGGCCAUGGGUGUCCUGCUUGCGUGGCUUCAGGAGGGCCUUUUGAACCCCGCAUUCAGCAUCUGGGAACGGUUCCUGUUCUUAAGGCAUCUGACCCACAAACCCCUUUGGUAAUUUAAAGCUCAUUAAAAUCUGCAAUCAGUAGUGCAGGACACUUGGAAGCCCACAGCUCCAUUACUGUAAAUGUAAAAAGAAUGGGAGUGCGGUCACUGUUGGAUCUGAGCUGACUUCCACGUCUGCUCCCCGUUUUAAAAGGGUUUGGGGCUGUCUGUCCACGCUGUGCUUCCACAUUGUCACCUGAAUUAAGUCACACGCAGGGACCGGACCGUCACUCGGGUUCAUGGAACUGCUGCUCUUCAUCCCUCUGAAGGACAUUAUCCCUCUGAAAGAUAGCAUUUUGAUGGGACGUGGAGCUGUCACGUGCUGAUGGCUUUGGAAGCAGAUGCAGGUUUGUGUCUGAGUGAUGCCUGUCUGCAUCCCAAGGCUCUGGCCGGGCCAUGGCCACAGUGGGGCUCUGUGUGUGACUCUGGGGCAGGAGCUGCUCCUUGGGAUGGUUUCUGCAUCCACUCAGGACACGGCUCUGCUGCGGUGGCUCAGCCGGGUCCCCUCCUGCACAGACACCCCGGGCUGCGGGACGUCCCCACAGAGCAGCAAAGAGGCUGUCAGAGGGUAUGACUUCCAUCCUUGUAAUGUUGCUGAAAUAGAAGUAGAGGCUCUUUCACACACACAAAUUAUGCUGUAGCGUAAACAUAGCCUGGAGGAAUCUGCUCGGAUUUCAAAGCUGCAUGGCACAGUCCAUCAGCCUCACACACACACUCUCUUUUAAUGACAGUGCAGAGAAGCCUUCUGCCUAACAUGAAUCAGAGUCCAUAGCCCUGGUGCUGUGCUGCCUCUUCUCCAAGCAAUGUCCCUGUGCUCAGCCUGAACCAGGGGCAGAGAGCAGAGCACAGAGCAAAAUGCCCCUGUCCCAAUGUUGGUCGGGGGAGAAUUGGGUGCUCAGCUGCAUGACCUGUGCCUGGAGAGGUGGUGAUGCCCCAUCCCUGGAGACUUUCGAGGCUGGGCUGGACCAGGCUCUGGGCUACCUGAUGGAGCUAUGCCUGUCCCUGUAAGUGGCAGGGGAUUUGGACCAGAUACCUUUAAAGUCCCUUCCAACUCCAAGGAUUCUAUGAUUCUGUGGGCGCUUGGACAGAGCAUUCACUGCAACAUUGCCAACAGAGCCCCGCACCACUCAGCUCCGCUUAAAAGUUUAUUACACCCCACGGCUGCCAUAACAGACAGCAGGGCCCGCAGGCUUGGAAGGCUCUUCUAUUUUCACAUGGGCUUUGCACACUGUUAGAGUGGGUCUCCACGCAGCUCCAUUUGCCCUCUGUUCAGGAUGGAAGUUCCAAAUUUCCCCAGCGUGAGACGAAGAGGUGUUAAUGAGAGAAGGGCAGAGGCACGAUGGCAGCCAGCCCCAUCUGCUCCUCGUGAAGAACACAGUGUUGGUGGGGAAGUGGUUGGACUGGUUUCUGUGGCUGAAAAAAGGCCCUAAGAAGAGCUGGAAAUGUUUUUGUAGAGCAAAUGUCAACAGUGCAGGACUCUCCCCUGUCGCUUUCAGCAGAGACCCGAAGCGAAGCCAUGUGGAGGCACGUAGGGCAGAACUCAAAGCAGCCUAUGAGAAUUACACUCAUAUCAAGGAAAUGUCAUUAUCUGUGUUUUAACAUCUUAUCUCCAGUGUGAUUUUCCCAAACAAACAGCAGUCUGGAAGCAGCCAGUGGAUGGAUGAUCCUUCCCAUCUCCGGUAGCUCCAUAGAACAGCACCGCCUGGGGCUGGGAAUGGGGCAGGAGGGUUCCCCAGGGCUGUACUGCACACGGGGCACCUCCUCCUGCCGAGCCCCAGGGAGCAGCAAUCACUGCACAGCCAUGGGCUGAGGCUCCCGUGUGCGUUCCCAAUACAAUAACACAUCUCAGCUCAUAAGAGAGGAAUGGUGUGCGAGUAAGUGCUUGUGAAAAUGUGGAGGAAUUUGGGGAAAAACACUGUUUUUUUAGCAUUCCUUUUUCUUAACUUCAUGUUUCCCAACGGAGUAUUGGACUCUUUGUCCGCUCUGUUAUCUCAGCACACAUAAAGCCUGGAUCCUGGGUCAAGCGGUGACAGUCAUGCAGCAAGGGCGGGCUCUUGGACGCUCCAUUCUGAAAGCAGACCAAGAAAAGUCUGCAGAUUGAUACAUUUUUUUCUCUAUUUUUCACAUGCUAAAUCUGAAACAAACAUGUUCCUGCAGUAACACUGACCUAAC